GACAGGGGUCUCGAGCGUUAAUCGGAAUCACUGGGCUUAAAGGGUGCGUAGGCCGCCUCGUAAGUGCUUUGUGAAAGCCCCCGGCUCAACUGGGGAGGGUCACGCGAUACUGCUCGACUGGAAGGCAGGAGAGGGAAGCAGAAUUCCCGGUGUAGUGGUGAAAUGCGUAGAUAUCCGGAGGAACACCAGUGGCGAAGGCGACUUCCUGGCCUGUUCUUGACGCUGAGGCGCGAAAGCUGGGGGAGCAAACGGGG
rnacentral:rRNA from 1 species